rnacentral:rRNA from 1 species
CUGAGGCGCGAAGGCCAGGGGAGCAAACGGGAUUAGAUACCCCGGUAGUCCUGGCAGUAAACGGUGCACGUUUGGUGUGCGCGGAUUCGACCCCCGUGCGUGCCGGAGCUAACGCGUUAAACGUGCCGCCUGAGAAGUACGGUCGCAAGAUUAAAACUCAAAGAAAUUGACGGGGGCCCGCACAAGCGGUGGAGUAUGUGGCUUAAUUCGAUGCAACGCGAAGAACCUUACCUGGGCUUGACAUGCAUUGUGUCGUCGGUGAAAGCCGACUAGUGUAGCAAUACACGCUUUGCACAGGUGCUGCAUGGCUGUCGUCAGCUCGUGUCGUGAGAUGUUGGGUUAAGUCCCGCAACGAGCGCAACCCUUGUGAACUGUUGCUACCCAGCACCAUUUUGUUUCCAUUCGAAUCCGGGAAACCAAAAUGGAGAUAAAAUGGUGCUGGGGCACUCUGUUCAGACUGCCCUGUGAAACGGGGAGGAAGGUGGGGACGACGUCAAGUCAGGAUGGCCCUUACGCCCAGGGCUGCACACGUACUACAAUGCUCAGUACAGAACGAUCCGAAACCGCAAGGUGGAGGAAAUCACUAAAACUGAGCCCAGUUCGG